ensembl:lncRNA
UACUAAAAUACACUUUAAUAAACACAAAAUAUUUUCCUUCUGCCAUCAAUAAACGUAUUAACAGGGUUUAUACAGACACAUUUAACAUUUAUACAAAUUAAUCUACAUAUGUUCUUAUUUCUCAGCUCUAUUUUUUCUACAACGUUUGCAUCAUGCUGUAACAUGUCCAAGUUUUUACAAUGUAAAAUUAGACAAAGCUCCCAAAAUUGUAUUAUAGAAGUUGAACAUGCAGUUGUAUCAACUGUUUUUCCAUAUCUACAGAUCUUCAGCAUCUUCUUCUAAUUUAAAAGCUGUGAAUUUAUGUGAGUGCUGGGUAUAUCACUCCUCUGAAAGAUGUCACCAACAUCUUCCCACUCCUAUCUUCUGUCAAAAAUCUUCCAUCCAAUCAUCUAAGAGCUUAAAGCCAGUAAGAGUGCAGUAUCCAGUUUAGGUGCAGGCAUGUGACAAACCCUUUUCUAGCUCUGUCGCUACCCCUACCCUACUUUUCAUGCACAUCCCUCAACUACAGGCCUGUCAGCAUAGGGACCUGCCUUACUUCCUCUAGCUAGACACUGCAAAAAAGACGACGCAAUUUGUUUCUCACAGGCUGAAUGCAUUGCCUCAGACUCUCCUGAUCUGAUCAUGACAGACAAACAACAAACUCUGCUGUCUGCUACAUCUCCCCAUGAUAUUAUAGCUAUAAUUUCUUAACGUACUAACCCUGUGUUCAAGGCUCCAAGUGCUAGAAGCCUAGAGGACCAAUAAUGCACAUCACUGCUCCAGCCUAAAUGCCUGAAUUCAUUCAGUACUUUUCCAUAAAAUUUGGGUGGAUCAAUUUGGAGUUGGCAGUUCUGUGGCAUUCUGCCUGUGCUGUAAUUCUGCUACCUCUCCUGCUGGUAUCUGUAAUUUUUCCCUAUUUCUUCAGUUGCCCACUGAAGCUGCUCUGGCUGGACAUCUUCUCAACUUCUUGAAAGUUUCUGUUGGCAGUGGAUUCUUUCUCUUUGGAUGCCAAUACUGUCAUUGUGAUAUCACUACUGCUGAAAGAAAUGCCUGACCUACCAUGAGGUAACAGCCAGAGCCAGACCCUGAGUUUAUGAAUGCCCUGUAUUCAUUUCUCCGCAAUAUCUGUGCUACAGCCUGAUGUAAGCCAGAUAAAAAUCUGUAUUUGCUGGAUCUCUGCAAAAAAACUAAUGUGCAGGAUUCCCUAACUGGGAACUUCUGUGGUAAUGCAGUGCCCUGCAACACUGCAGUGCAGGAUGCUCAGCGUGGGUAUUACUGUGAAGAGAGCCUGCAAGAAAAAGUACAAAUGGCCUAGGAACACAGCCAAAGCUCCAGCCUCUCUCCUGCCCUCUUCCCUUGUUGACCAGUGUCUUCCUCCUCCCAAAUGAAAAAAGAUGAGCUUAGCAUGAACCUGUACGAAUGCUGCCCUACUCAGAAAUUCAGCAUUCAAGUGAUGACUCUUGGCACAAACCUGAGUCUCACAGAAGAGGCAAGAAGUUCACUAUUGUCAAUAAGGUCCACUGGAAGACAUUAAGUGUGCAUUACCUGCAGACUGUAUAUAAUCAAAGGAUGGGUGUCAUAAAGGUCCCUAGCUUCUCUACAGACUCCUCAAUGGAACAAAAUAUGUUCAAGCCACAACAUUUCUGCAUGUGCAGCCCAGUGACAGAAAGUGAGAAACAAAUAAAAUAAUAAAAGGCAGUCCAGUUCAAUUUUCUUUUGAGGAAGAAACAAUUGAAAGCAGACAGCUGCUCAAAAAUCCCAAUACACAAAAGGGCUACCAUGAACAAGGUGCAUGAAAGGCAGCUGGAAUCUGGGACAUGCAAUAUAAAAUACCAGGCAAUAUAUUAAAACUUGAUCCUGAAUAAAAAUACUUCAUAAUCUAGAAGCUGUAUCAAAUCUGCAACCACUCUUCACAGUGGAUCAAAUCUGAUCUGUCAGAUGAUCACAGCCUUCCAGUAUCUGAAGGGGGUCUAUAAGGAUGCUGGGGAGGGACUCUUCCUUAGGGACUGUAGUGGUAGGACAAGGGGUAAUGGGUUCAAACUUAAACAGGGGAAGUUUAGAUUAGAUAUAAGGAAGAAGUUCUUUACAGUGAGGGUGGUGAAGCACUGGAAUGGGUUGCCCAGGGAGGUUGUGGAUGCUCCAUCCCUGGCGGUGUUCAAGGCCAGGUUGGACAGAGCCUUGGACCACAUGGUUUAGGGCAAGGUGUCCCUGCCCAUGGCAGGGUGGUUGGAACUAGAUGAUCUUACGGUCCUUUCCAACCCUUACUAUUCUAUGAUUCUAUGAUUCCAUGAUUUGGCUGUACACAAAUCGAGCACAACUACUAGUGAAACCUCCCCAUUAUUGUCAAGAUUAGCUAAUUCUUCUUGACACUGCCAAUAGAUUAUAUGCAACAGAAAUACUGUACAUUUUAUAAGCCCUCCUCUACAUUGUGUAUUGAUAGAAACUAGGUUAAUGAUGGUAACUACACUACUACCUACUGUUCUAAUAAAUACAUCUUCUCUUUCUGCCUUCUAGCACCAGCUUCUGUCUGUCACAAACUUUGCAAAAGGUCUGAAUUAGGAAUUCACAGAACUAGAGGUCAUACUAAAAUUAACGAAUAGGUCCACAUUCAACAAUGAGACAGAAUAGAUAUCCUUCUGUUUUCACCUUUAUGUACAUACCAGCAAUAAAUUUCACCUGUUCAGCAUUCUGGCAAUAGAAACAGUUACGGCAAAAACUAACACCUCUAAAUCCUCAGUAGCUCUCACUAAAAAUUAAAAAAACCAAACAACAAACAUCAGGAAACUAAAGAAAUUCAUCUAGUUGCUGGUCCUGUGGUUUUCCUUUUCUGAGGAGAUGCCCCAGGGUUACAUGAAAUGCAGAAUUAAUGACUAUCUCAGUGAUUUCUGAACAGCACAGGUCUUGAGUGAAAAAGCCUACUUCCCAAAUGUUCCUUUGACUUCCUGAGAAGGCUGUCAGUCUAAACAGGAGCAAGAUUCUCAUUUGAGAAAAUACAUCUAUAAUUUAUAGACUAAGUUUUCUUCUUGGUUGGUGAUGUUGGUUUUGUUUUGUUUGUUGGUUUGUGGGUUUUGUUUUGUUUUGCUUUUUUUUAAGAAUACACAUUUGAGGAGCAAAUCUGAUCUGAAGUGAUUAUUAAAAUUCAAAUAGAAAAUACAAAUGUAAGUAACAGCUUGAGUUUAAACAGUAGGCAAACAAGAGAUUUGAAAAUUUCUAAAGACAUGUAGUCUUGCCAUUUUUUCCAAAAUAGUGAGGCAAAUAGCCAUGAAAAAAUAAAAAAAAAAAAAAAAAAAAAAGGAAGA